CAACUGUUCCUUUAAAUAACUAAGAACAUUAAGGAGACAUUGCUUGACUAUAAUACCCAUUCCAGGCAAGCAACCAAUCUGUGUAGAUCUGGGUCUCCAAGGUGAUGGGAUCAUCUCUACAUGAUCAUCCACUGUAGAUAUCCCCUUUGGAAAAACUAAAGCCAGGGGCGCUGAUCUGAAGAAAUGCAAAGGUCACUGAAAGACUCAUAAACUUAAAAAACCCAAAUGUCAUAUAAGAAAAGAGAAGCCUAGAGCAUGAACUUCGUCUUCUGUUGAAAGCCAGUGCCAACAGUAACUUCUGACAAGGAGGAUGAUGCACCAGCUACAGCUCUCAGACACUGACACAACAGAUUACAUGGUCGUCUAUGUAGAAAAUCUGAACAAACUGACCAAAAACUCCUGGAACUGAUAAGUGAUUGUAACAAGGCUGCAGGACACAAGAUAAACUUUAUCAUGGAGAUAAAUCUCAUUCUGUCCUCCUAAUCUCAUCUCUGAAGAGGUCAAAAGAAAGUUUGUCAAGUCCCUUAAAAAAAACUGCAAUGGACUGAAUGUUUAUGUCCCACCAAAAUUCCUAUGUUGAAGUCCUAACCCCAAGGGUGGGAGAAAAAGCAAUUUAACACCGAUAAUGUUCCAGCUCAGAGCUCCAUCUGGUUGCUGCUGAUAAGGGCAUCUGUGUGACAAGGGAAUUUUCCACCCUUCAGGCGAUUUGCAUUGCUCACUGAACUUCUAAAAACCUACCAGCAAGGAAGCAGGGACAAGGAUUUCAUACUAGUGGACAGAAAGCGAGCGGAGACCAGCAUGUGUUCCUUCAUCAAGGGAAUAUAAAUGAGAUCAAUACAUUUUGUUUUCACAAA